AGUGAACGCUGGCGGUAUGCCUAACACAUGCAAGUCGUACGAGAGUUUUUAACUCUAGUGGCGGACGGGUGAGUAACACGUGAGAAUUUGCCUUUAGGAGGGGGAUAACAAUUGGAAACGAAUGCUAAUACCCCAUAUGCUUUUGAGUGAAAUGGAUUUUAUCCGCCUAGAGAGAAGCUCGCGGCUGAUUAGCUUGUUGGUAAGGUAAGAGCUUACCAAGGCGACGAUCAGUAUCUGGUUUGAGAGGACGAUCAGACACACUGGAACUGAGACACGGUCCAGACUCCUACGGGAGGCAGCAGUGGGGAAUUUUCCGCAAUGGGCGAAAGCCUGACGGAGCAAUACCGCGUGAGGGAAGAAUGCCUAUGGGUUGUAAACCUCUUUUUUCGGGGAGGAAUAAAAUGACGUGUACCUGAAGAAUAAGCAUCGGCUGACUCCGUG
rnacentral:rRNA from 1 species